UAAACCAAUCACCAAUCAGAUUCAUGAGCUUUGAAAUCCAUUCUAAUAAAUUAAAUGACUAGACCACAUUUUCACAUAAUAAGUAGGAGCAAAGAAGAAGGUUCCAAAAGGAAGCUGACAAAAUCCAUCAACAUUUAACCAACUCACAACUUGCUAUACUAAUAUCACACACAUACCAACAACACUUUAUCAGGGUCCAGCAAUGUGAAUUAAAUUAACCUACACACCCUGUCCAAACUCAGGUAUUAUGAGAACAGUCUGUAGAAGCAUUCAUACUUCUAGAGAGAUGUGCCCGAAGAUUAGAAUUUGUUCGUUUCUUAUCUACAGGGAAAAAAAUAGUAGUUCUCAGCAUAACCUUGAAAUCAAUACUAUUCAACUGCCUUGUAGAAAACAGCAACCAGUAGUUAACAUGAACCAUCUAUAACUACCUGUCUUAGCAGUGUAUGUGCUGCUGAUCUAAAAACCGGCUCCCCCAAGCGGUAGAAAACUAGACGCCGGUAUCUCACCCCUCUAGAAUUAAUGACACAAAAAAGUUAGUAAUAUGGCAACGCUUUGCACCCACAAACUUAGCACAGAAGUGAGGGCAAAAGAAAUGAAGGUGAAACUGGUUUAGGGUAACAGACCUGGUAUUUAUCAGCUAAAAAGUAAAGGUCAAUGUUUUUGUCUAGGCCAAUUUGGGGAGACAAGAGACGGUACAUAUCGUAAAAUGUCGCCACCGGUUUACCAGAAUUGAUUUGGGUUCCAGGUUGUUCAUUGACUGUGACUUGUUGACUGCUUUUCUACAAGGAAAAAAAAAAAGGACAGUUCUUAGCAUAACCUUGAAAUCAAUAUCCAACAGCUUUAUAGAAAACAGCAACCAGUUCUUAACAUAAACCAUCAUCUAUACUUACCUGUCUUAGAAGUGUUGCUACUGCUGAUCUAAAAGCUGGCUCCCCAACAAUGUCUUUCAUAAGCGGUGUAAUAUUACACUUGGGUAUCUCACCUCUCUAGAACAAAUGACACAAAAAAGUUAGUAAUAUGGCAACGCUUCGCACCCACAGUGAGGGAAAAAGAAAUGAUGGUGAAACUGGUUUGGGGUAACAGACCUGGCAUUUUUUACCAAAAUAGUAAAGGUCAAUGGUUUUCUCUAUGCCAAUUUGGGGAGCCAGGAGAUGGAACAGCUGAUCAAAUGUCAACACCACUUUACUAGAAUUGAUUUGGGUUCUAGGUUGUUCAUUGACUGUGACUUGUAGAUUGCUUUUCUACAAGUAAAAAGGAAAUAACAGUUCUUAGCAUAACCUUGAAAUCAAUAUCCAACUGCUUUAUAGAAAAAUCAUGCACAACGCUGCAUAAACCAUCUACUCUACCUGUUCUUGCAUUUGUGCCAAUGAUGGUGAAACCAGCUGCUCCUCCAAAAUGUCUGUCAUAAGUGGGGAAAAAGUAGACACAAUGUCUGCCUGUUCAUCUCUCUAGAACAAAUGACACAAAAAGUUAGUAAUAUGGCAAAGCCUUGCACCACAAACUUCAAUAAUUUUUAACACAUAAGAGAUGGAAAAAGAAAUGAUGGUAAAACCGGUUUCUCGGAUAAAGGUUGAAUCUCAUCGACUUUGUCUUGGUCAUAUGGCAACAUGUUGAAUAAAACUUGAAGUUCAUUGACUGUGUCUGUGAUUUGUAGAUUACUCAUCUGUUGUGUUGUAAACUGUUCAUUGACUGGGACCUGACGAUUUUUAUUCUACAAGGAAAAAAAAAUAAAGUUCUCAACAUAAACAUGAAAUGAAUAUUCAACUGCCUUAUAGAAAAAUCAUCAGCAACAGUGCAUAAAACAUCUACUCUACCUGUUGUUCGUGCAGUUGCAUCGUUGCUGAAUAAACCAGCUGCAUUCCCACAAUGUCUGUCACACGCGCAAAAAACCUAGACUUGGGUAUUAUUUCAUCUCUCUAGAACAAAUGACACAAAAAAAGUUAGUAAUACAAUAAUGUAAUAUGGCAAAACCUUGCACUACAAACUUAAAUAAUAUUUAACACAGAAGAGAUGGAAAGAGAAAUGAUGGUAAAACCGGUUUGGGGAUAAGAGACCUUAUAUUUCUCGAAUAAAGCUUGAAUUUCAUCGACUUUGUCUUGGUCAAUAUGGGGAAACAAGAAAGGGAACAACCGGUCAUAUGGCACCACAGGUAUAGCAGGUAAACUUUCAUUGACGGUNNNNNNNNNNNNNNNNNNNNNNNNNNNNNNNNNNNNNNNNNNNNNNNNNNNNNNNNNNNNNNNNNNNNNNNNNNNNNNNNNNNNNNNNNNNNNNNNNNNNNNNNNNNNNNNNNNNNNNNNNNNNNNNAGUCUAAAACAUUUAAAACGUCCACAUAAUAAUUAAUAGAAUUCAAAUAAUGAUGCUUAGGGUUAGGGUAAAACGAAAAACACACACAAAAUGAAAUCUAAAGACAAUAAUAAACAUGAGCAUUGAAAUGUGUAGAACCAAAACAUAAAUUGAUAUCAAAUCCAAAAACAGAGAAGAAAUUAAACGCAGAUGACGUGAGGAUUAAGAAAUUAACUAUGGAUGUAGCGAGACUCAUGAUUAGAACUUCCUGUCAAGUUGUGGUGGCUGAAUUUAUCGAUGUAAAGAUAAACGGCGAGGUUUUUCACCUGCGUGUCAUCGAAGAUUUGUACGGACCUAUGAGGAUUAUGACAACUCAGAAACAAGGCCAGCAAGGAAGAUCUAUGGAUAAUGAUAGUUCGGAGGAUGAACGGAGAUUGAUGGCGGUGGUGGAUGAGCCAGAGAGAGAAUCGGAAGGCGAAAAUUUAUUAGCAUUAAACUCUAAUGUUAAUGUCCAUAAUAUUCCUAUUAAUGCUUAUAAAGUUGUGAAUACCUUUUUGUAAGCGUUUAACGUACCUGAGGAUAGGGAGGAAGGUUCAAAUCUUUCUAGUAAUUUUGUCCCUAUCCAAAAUUUAGAAAAUUUGAAUAAACAUGAUCAUUGAAAAACAAUAGCUACUGUAAGUUUGCCGUAUGUGUAGGCUAUUCCUCCUAAGCUACAAGAUUUUUUUUUAUUAAUAUUCAAAUUUAUUCUAGAAUUACUCUCCCCCUAUGUUGGUCUUAAAAAUGAUUUAGUUAUUAUGAAUAGAGAAGGAAAUCCCCCAAGUCUUGAAAUGAUGAUUUCUAUCAAUUGGCGAUUAAAAUGCAAGUCAAAACAAAAACAGGGAAUAUGACAAAUAACUAACAUACAUAAAUUUAAAACCAUACAUUGCUGAAGAUAGUACAAUUACGUCGUUAACUUGAUGUACCAUCAUAGUCUUUGGUCAUCUCGAGAUGUUCUUUAAAGUUUUUUGUUCUUAUAGUCCUCAUGCUUGCGGGGUUAAGGACUGUUAUAAUUUUAAAUCUCAAAUUAUUUUCUUAAGCAUUUUACUCUUACUGUCAUAAAAUAUUUCUAUCUUGAUUGAACACUACAAGAUAGUUUAAUAAUGUGAGUUCAAAAUGCGCUCUUCAAUGGGGAUUGGGGAUUCAGAAGAUAAAGGACUAGUGCACCAAGUAAGGAGUUUUCCCACCAAAAAUUCAAAUUCAAAUAGCAAGUGAAGAUGGGAGGGAACAAUUUUCAAAGAUUUUCACAGGACAAGUGUCCUACACGUGGCAAACAUGCAAAGUUCGAAAACAGUUACUCGAGUUUUCGAAUUUUCUUAUAAAUACAAUAAUCGUAGGCUGUUUUAGGAAGUUCCUUUCCAAUAGAGAAAACAUACCGCCUAAAAUAGAACCACAUUUUCACGCUAACAUACAAAAUGCAAAAAAAACUUCUCAUAUGGCUGUAAUUGAUGUAUGAAACUCAAUUUCUUUAUAAUGCAAUUUAACUUUUCUAGUUAUAGCAUUUUAGAUUGAUUUUACUCAAAAAGACGCUAAACAUUCUAGAAAUUCAAACCAAUCGUAAACCUAUCAACUGAAGAACCCAUUAAGGAUAUGAUCAAAAUCCUAAAUAAACCAAUUGUAAUCAGGACUUAAUUAAAAUGGUCAAGUUUAUUUUAUUCCAACAAACCUAUGGCACUUUUGCAGAAAUGAAUCCUCUCCAUUUAUUUUUCUCAUCUUUUACAAAUGUCCACAUGUGAUAUGUAACUCAAAGGCUUUAACAUAAAUGAAUCUGGUAAACAAGGAUGCAUAAUUUAGAAUUCAAUUAUGUAAGAUUAUUUGAAUAAUACAUAUGGUUAAUGAACUUCAAUAUCAAGUUCACAAAGUCAUGACAGAUACACCAAUCACCAAUCAGAUUCAUGAGCUUUGAAAUCCACAUUCUAAUAAAUUGCAUGACUAGACCACAUUUUCACAAAAUAAGUAGGAACAAAGAACAUGGUUCCAAAAGGAAGCUGACAAAAUCCAUCAACAUUUAACCAACUCACAACUUGCUAUAUUAAUAUCACACACAUACCAACACUUUAACAGGUCACACCCUGCCCAAACACAGGUAUUAUGAGAACAGUCUGUAGCAGCAUUCAUACUUCUAGAGAGAUGUGGCAGAAGAGCCUGUUUUGUUUCUUAUCUACAGGAAGAAAAAAAAUAGUAGUUCUUAGCAUAACCUUGAAAUCAAUACUAUUCA
rnacentral:lncRNA from 1 species